CCUACGGGAGGCAGCAGUGGGGGAUAUUGCACAAUGGGGGAAACCCUGAUGCAGCGACGCCGCGUGGGCGAAGAAGUAUUUCGGUAUGUAAAGCCCUAUCAGCAGGGAAGAAGAAAUGACGGUACCUGAGUAAGAAGCACCGGCUAAAUACGUGCCAGCAGCCGCGGUAAUACGUAUGGUGCAAGCGUUAUCCGGAUUUACUGGGUGGAAAGGGAGCGCAGGCGGCGCGUUAAGCCUGGUGUGAAAGCCCGCGGCCCAACCGCGGGACUGCAUUGGGAACUGGCGCGCUGGAGUGCCGGAGGGGUAGGCGGAAUUCCUAGUGUAGCGGUGAAAUGCGUAGAUAUUAGGAGGAACACCAGUGGCGAAGGCGGCCUACUGGACGGUGACUGACGCUGAGGCUCGAAAGCGUGGGGAGCAAACAGGAUUAGAUACCCUAGUAGUC
rnacentral:rRNA from 1 species